UACAGAGGGUGCAAGCGUUGCUCGGAAUUAUUGGGCGUAAAGGGUAGGUAGGUGGUCUCAUUUGUCCGGGGUGAAAGCCUUGAGCUUAACUCAAGAAGUGCCCCGGAAACGGUGAGACUGGAGUCUUGGAGAGGGUCGUGGAAUUCCCGGUGUAGCGGUGAAAUGCGUAGAGAUCGGGAGGAACACCAGAGGCGAAGGCGGCGACCUGGACAAGUACUGACACUCAACUACGAAAGCGUGGGGAGCAAACAGG
rnacentral:rRNA from 1 species